AAGCUUGGUGCUUGCACCGAGCGGAUGAGUUGCGAACGGGUGAGUAACGCGUAGGUAACCUGCCUCUUAGCGGGGGAUAACUAUUGGAAACGAUAGCUAAUACCGCAUAAAAGUCGACAUCGCAUGAUAUUGAUUUGAAAGGUGCAAUUGCAUCACUAAGAGAUGGACCUGCGUUGUAUUAGCUAGUUGGUGAGGUAACGGCUCACCAAGGUGACGAUACAUAGCCGACCUGAGAGGGUGAUCGGCCACACUGGGACUGAGACACGGCCCAGACUCCUACGGGAGGCAGCAGUAGGGAAUCUUCGGCAAUGGGGGCAACCCUGACCGAGCAACGCCGCGUGAGUGAAGAAGGUUUUCGGAUCGUAAAGCUCUGUUGUAAGAGAAGAACGAGUGUGAGAGUGGAAAGUUCACACUGUGACGGUAACUUACCAGAAAGGGACGGCUAACUACGUGCCAGCAGCCGCGGUAAUACGUAGGUCCCGAGCGUUAUCCGGAUUUAUUGGGCGUAAAGCGAGCGCAGGCGGUUAGAUAAGUCUGAAGUUAAAGGCUGUGGCUUAACCAUAGUACGCUUUGGAAACUGUUUAACUUGAGUGCAGAAGGGGAGAGUGGAAUUCCAUGUGUAGCGGUGAAAUGCGUAGAUAUAUGGAGGAACACCGGUGGCGAAAGCGGCUCUCUGGUCUG
rnacentral:rRNA from 1 species